GUUUGAACUAAAACAAUAGCGGGGAAUAUUGAACGGGGGAGUACAUAUGAACGGGGGAGUACAUAUGUGGAUAAACAGUAAGCGAUGACGACUAAAGAUUGUUGAAAACAUACGAACUGGAAGUAGUAAGAGUAGGAGCAAACAACACGAUACAAGAUAAUACAAUUAAUGAGUACUUUUUUAAUAUUACACCCCUGAGAAGAGUAGGGAUAACAAAUAGAGAUCGAUACAAACAAAGGGAAGGAGAGCGAGCUCUACUGACCUUGGGGCUAAAUAUCAAAUCCGUUGAUUGCUCGAAAAAAAGAUGUUGUAAAUUAUUCCAGGUAUACUGAGACUGAUUCUAAAUCGAGCUAGGUAGCUACCAGUACCUAGCCAGCUGCAGGGGAACGAAGACACUGAUCAUUGGCAUGAGAUACCAGGGCAGAGGACAUGGUUCGUCGGGAUUCGCGCACUGAUCUCACACAGACAGUUCAUGUAGCCUUGGGAUAAAUUUGCGCAGCACGGCUUCAUAAAAUCUCGAUCGCCGUAGCGACCAGCAAGGACCCCUUGCCUACAAUAAACUCCCAUUGGAAGGGGGUCGCAGGGCCCUGCCUCCUCUGUCACCGGCGCAAGCGCCAGCACAAGCGCCGCCACUAGCACCAGCAGAAGCGCCGCUGCACGGGAUGGAUUCAUGGUUAUAGAUAGCUAGGGGUUGAAUGUGGAUAGACGCUCAAGGUGGUGGGUGCUUCAAGGUGGUGGGUGCUUUGCUUGGGGAGUGUGGUAUGGUACUGGUAUAUAGAGGAUGGUUUCACCCCUUCCGGAGAUCUGGGCUUUUUUAUAGUCUAUCUAUAGGAUCCUCCACCGCCCCAUAUGGGAUGAGUAGAUCGCCCUUGUGAGGAUCUGCCCUUUUUAUAAUCUAUCUCACUCUCAAACCUCCACCGACCAAGCACACCACUACUAAGCACGUUCGUCAAGCUUUAACCAUUGACUUCCAGAUGGCAACACACUGGCUAGAUCACAUCGUCGAUCACAUAUAGCUUGUCGGCACUCAGUCCUUCCUCCUUGACUCACCCAAUCGCAUCUAAUCUCUGGGAACUCAACUGCAGCCGCUCUUGUUCCUUUUUUUUGUCCUCUAUGUGGAAGAAGUAGGCACAGCUACUUUCCACGAUUUGAGGGGCACCAGGUCCAUCAAACCCGUACCCCAUGUUAGGCACGGUGAUAGUGCCUUGACAUGGGUUGCGUGUGGUGGCUAGCUUGCCUAGGUCCAGCAAGUCCUCGACCAUGUUUCAAUCCUAUCAAAUGAAGUCUUUGUGUUGGUUGGGUCUGCACUGACUCGGCCUCACUCUCGGCUGCUAUUUUUGCGUUGCAACUGAUUCUGGCCCGAAUUAAUAUGCUCUCGUCACUGCUGAAAAAUUAUUGUAAGCUGAGUAUGAGACAGUUUGCCGAGUAUAUUCUGCCGAGCACUCGGCAAGAAGCCUCCUAAACUGAGUAUCAGAAACAAAAACUCACCAAACCUCAGGUACUCAGCAAAGCCAACCUAAGAUGAGUGUGAAAACAGAAAUACACAGGGAAGCAGCCUUAUAGUGUCUUUUGACAUGCACUCGGCAAACAAUGUGGAAUGUGUCCACCGUCGUUGGAACGGUAGACAGUGCGGUCACCUUUGCCGAGUACCUUCUCAUAGCAACUCAGCAAACAAGUGUUCUUUUUAUUCCUUUCUAUUCUUUGUUUUCUUCUCUUUAUUUUUUCUUAAUUUCUUUGAGGUUCUUUAUUUAUUUCAUUUCAUUAAUUUUGUUUUCUCUUCUUUUCUUUCUUUCGUUCUUUUUGAGUCGGGUUUCCAUACAAAGUGACUGCUGAUUCCUCUGUUGACCUUCUGUUUUUUCUACACUCAACACACACUGAUGACCGUCAUUUUUUUCUACAUUCAACACACACGACACUUCCCGCAAAAAAUAAACACACUAUACACCUAUAAUGUAACAAAUUGGGCAUUUUUCGAGUCUGUUUGUUAUAUUUACGUCACAAAAUACAUUUCUAGCCAUUUAAUAGAUAUAACUUAAAUUUAAAUUGCCGAUACAUACAAUUAUUCCCUGAUGUGGGUUGAACAAUCAUAUUGUUGGACUUUGUUGGCGCCGACACUCGCAGCACCGCUUCUUUUUCUACCUCACAACUCUCUCUUCUCUCAUGUAUCUCAAGAACACACACACGGACACACCUCACCGGUGAGAAAACUAGCUUUGCUUUGGUCUCCCGGUGAAAGCACAUACGCUACAUCUUUUCUUCCAGCCCUCACGGCCUCUGCCAUUUCUCAUUGUCUUGAUAUGCAACAUAUAUACAACAGGGUAGGCCUCAUGCACGCACUUACUAGUCGGCAGGUUCGGCCACUAACACCACGUAACACACGCCCAACUAACUAUCCAGUAAUCUCUCCCAGCUAACAACUUAUCCGUGCAGCCACUAACUAACCCAUCCAUGCAUGCACUUGACUCGGCUAAACACAAAAUACUAUUGCAGCUUGCAUGCACACACAUGAACACAUCUUUAUGUGUCCACACUGCCGCAGCUACUGCUACAUGCAUUACUUACAAACAAAUAUGCAGAUACAUCAUGACAAGAUUAGUGCUAACAGACUUUAGUAUAUGCUUAGUGACGAAGCUAAAUCCGGCAGACCUCCUGGUAGGAGAUCCUAAUUAAGCUAGGCGUCUAGGAACCAUAAGGAAGAUACUAAUCUUGCAUCGAGCACUACCAAUCAAGCUUUAACCAUUGACUUCCACAUGGCAACACACUGGCUAGAUCCAAUCAUCGAUCACCUAUAGCUUGUUGGCACUCACUCGUUCCUCCUUGAGUCACCCAAUCACGUCUAAUCUCUGGGAAUUCACCCGCAACCGAUCUUGUUCCUCUUUUUUGUCCACGAUGUCGAAGCAGUAGGCACAUAUGCUUUCUAUCAUUUGAGGGGCACCAGGUCUAUGAAACCCGUAGCCCAUGUUAGGCAUGCUGAUAGUGCCCUGACAUGGGCUGCGUGUUGUGGAUAGAUUGGCUAGGUCCAACAAGUCCUCGACUAUGUUUCAACCCUUAGUGCAGAUUUGAUCUGCAUUGACUCGGCGUCACUCUCGGCUGCUAUUGUAGCGUUGCAACUAAUGAAAAAUUGUUGUAAUAAGCCGAGUGUGAGACAGUUUGCCGAGUAUAUUCUGUCGAGCACUCAGCACAGCCAGCAAAACCAAGUAUCAAUAAUAAACACUGCACAAAAUUUAUGUGAAAACAGAAACAGACGGUGAAGCAACACUAUAAGCGUCUUCUGACAUGCACUCGGCAAAGAAGGUGGCAUGUGUCCACCGUCACUGCAGUUUGACGUGACGUAGACAAUGCGGUCACCUUUGCCGAGUACCUUCUCACAGGGACUCAACAACGAAGUGUUCUUUCUAUUCCUUUCUAUUCUUUAUUUUCUUCUCUUUAUUUGUUUUCCUUUUCUUUCUUAACUUCUUUGAGGUUCUCUAUUUCUUUCAUUUCAUUGAUUUUAUUUUCUCUUCUUUUCUUUCUUUUGUUUAUUUUUUGAGUCAGAUUUCCACACGAAGUGACUGUUGCUUCCGCUGUUUUUUUUGCGAUGAGUUGCUUCCGCUGUUGACCAGCAGUUUUUUCUACACUCAACACACAAUGUUGACUUUCAAUUUUUUCUAUAUUAGACACAUUCACUAGUGGAUCCCGCCAAAAUGUGACAAGCACCCCACUGCUCGAUCUGAGACCUCCUGCAGCUUCCUACCCAGGAUGCCGAUGCUCUACCCCAUGGCUCUCAUGUCAUCACCGUGAUGUCGUGCUGCUGGAGGCCGUCACAUCCCGGCGCCAUUGCUUGACUGGAAGUCUCGCACCUUCCGUUGGACAAGAUUGUAAAUGAGGAGAAGGUACCGCUGCAGCCAGGGGCGGACCUAGAAACUAUUUUAAGUGGGGCAAACAAUAGGAGUGGGGGCACACUUUGUACAAAUUUACAUAGUUUUGACAAAAAUUCUGUAAUUUCAAAGAAAUAUAACUGAAGUUUCAUAUUUUGAGUGGGGUCCCAGGCCCCCACUCCCAUGAACGUGGGUCCGCCCCUGGCUGCAGCGUCUGCUCGUAGAUCUUCGCAACGCAGUGCCUUUGAGCAGAGGCAAGGAAGGUGUGGUGUUUUCUAGGGUUUCCCCCUUUGCUCGUAGGAGCGACACAGGAGGGAGGUUUAUGUGUUUGACUGGUGAGCACUUUAUGCAAGAUCUGGACACAACAUCUUUACAGCUAAACCAAAACCUAGAAAUCUACUCCAGUUGCUGUACUUCCUCUCAUCCAUUAAUUGUCGCUGAUUUAGUGCAACUUCAUUACCACAAAUAUUAAGAUGGACCCGAAGGAGUAGUAUAUUAUGACAGUUGUGGAAUGGACCAAGCCGAAACUAGUUAUGAAGCUUGAGAAACACAUAUGAGUUAUGCUAUUGUGCGAGGCAGAAGAGCACAUUUGUGCAUGGGAAAGUAGUAGGACGCACCCGAGUGCAUGUGCUUCUAAGUAUGUGUUAAUUCUCAUAUGACCAUCAUAUACAAGACAUGCACCACCAUAUAAGCAUUUUAAUCAUAAGUUCAGUAUAACAUUUUGCACGGAUCACUUUUGUAUCUUGUGCAUCUCUUUCUCACAAACCACUAAAUAUAUUACAGGGAUUAGGAGGCAUCAAGAAAAAGACAAUAUGGAUAGCCCGUCAGUGAAGAUCGACCAAAUUCUGAAACAGCACGAUGUGCCAAAAAAUGACCAGGGUGGCCAUCAACACUUGCUCCCUUACUACCACCACAGUAGACUCACAGACACCUUCCAGAAGUCACACCUACAUCCAGGCUGCAGAGAAGUGCCCGCACCUCGUCACAGCGGACGUGCUCGGCAAGGCAGGGAAAAGAACAAGUAGUCUACGUGACACAUCCUGCAGUGGCGGCGUUAGUGUGGGUUGUAACAGGGGUCAGCCCAUAUUGGAGUUGUCCUAGGAAGUAUACCUGAGGAUGAUGGCGCGGGGGGGUGGCUUGCAACCUCGGCGUUGUAUGUCUGCAGGAAGAACAUGGCUGUGUCUGGCGACGAUCUCACCACCAAGGUGUGCCUAUGGGUGACGAUGGUACACGAAAAGAAAUGGUGGUGCACGUACGUACACGUAUGUGACUGCAAAAGGCUCCACUUAUCUGGUGUUAGACAAACAAAUCAGUGAAUCAAUAAUGUUGAAGCAGCCAUGCAAUAAGUAGUAUUUCUAACUCAUGUUAGUAAUAAUUAUUUGUUGUCACCUAAGCUCCACUCCACUAAUAUAUGUAUAGAUUGACUAUUCAUCACCCAGGAUACACAAUAAAUUAUUCUUCACCCGAGGUAAUUUUACAAUCCUUUUAUAAAUUAAUUAUAUUUGGAAUACAAUUAGUUACACUAGUCAUCAACUCGUGCUCCUGCACGGGCUAGCAUUUUUAUGAAAAAUUUAAUUUGUA
rnacentral:lncRNA from 1 species